UCCACCUCCCACCCGUGUUUAUCGUACCUUGUUGCUUCGGCGGGCCCGCCUCACGGCCGCCGGGGGGCAUCCGCCCCCGGGCCCGCGCCCGCCGAAGACACACAAACGAACUCUUGUCUGAAGAUUGCAGUCUGAGUACUUGACUAAAUCAGUUAAAACUUUCAACAACGGAUCUCUUGGUUCCGGCAUCGAUGAAGAACGCAGCGAAAUGCGAUAAGUAAUGUGAAUUGCAGAAUUCAGUGAAUCAUCGAGUCUUUGAACGCACAUUGCGCCCCCUGGUAUUCCGGGGGGCAUGCCUGUCCGAGCGUCAUUGCUGCCCUCAAGCACGGCUUGUGUGUUGGGCUCUCGCCCCCCGCUUCCGGGGGGCGGGCCCGAAAGGCAGCGGCGGCACCGCGUCCGGUCCUCGAGCGUAUGGGGCUUCGUCACCCGCUCUGUAGGCCCGGCCGGCGCCCGCCGGCGAACACCAUCAAUCUUAACCAGGUUGACCUCGGAUCAGGUAGGGAUACCCGCUGAACUUAAGCAUAUCAAUA
rnacentral:rRNA from 1 species